rfam:Anopheles merus strain MAF unplaced genomic scaffold supercont2.13, whole genome shotgun sequence.
CCUUCGAUAGCUCAGUUGGUAGAGCGGUGGACUGUAGACAGCGAUAGCGUGCGCGCACCAUCAGCAGAAGUAAUCCAUAGGUCACUGGUUCAAAUCCGGUUCGAAGGA